GACGAACGCUGGCGGCGUGCUUAACACAUGCAAGUCGAACGUGAUUUUUGUGGAAAUUCUUUCGGGAAUGGAAAUGAAAUGAAAGUGGCGAACGGGUGAGUAACACGUGAGCAACCUACCUUACACAGGGGGAUAGCCGUUGGAAACGACGAUUAAUACCGUAUGAGACCACAGAAUCGCAUGAUAUAGGGGUCAAAGAUUUAUCGGUGUAAGAAGGGCUCGCGUCUGAUAGCUAGUUGGAAGGGUAAAGGCCUACCAAGGCGACGAUCAGUAGCCGGUCUGAGAGGAUGAACGGCCACAUUGGAACUGAGACACGGUCCAAACUCCUACGGGAGGCAGCAGUGGGGAAUAUUGCACAAUGGGGGGAACCCUGAUGCAGCGACGCCGCGUGAGCGAAGAAGGUUUUCGAAUCGUAAAGCUCUGUCCUAUGAGAAGAUAAUGACGGUAUCA
rnacentral:rRNA from 1 species